rnacentral:rRNA from 1 species
GAUGAACGCUGGCGGCGUGCUUAACACAUGCAAGUCGAACGAAGCACUUUACUUGAUUUUCUUCGGAACUGAUUGUACUGUGACUGAGUGGCGGACGGGUGAGUAACGCGUGGAUAACCUGCCUCACACAGGGGAGUAACAGUGGUAACGGACUGCUAAUAACCGCCGAUAAGACGGCACAGCACCGCAUGGUGGCAGUGUGAAAACUACCGGUGGUGUGAGAUGG